AUUAAUUUAGAGAUGGUGAGAACACCUUGCCGCGACGAAAAUGGUCGUAAAAAGGGUACUUGGACACCUGAAGAAGAUAGAAAAUUAGCAGCUUAUAUUACUAAAUAUGGAUCAUGGAAUUGGAGACAACUACCCAAGUAUGCUGGCUUAGCAAGGUGUGGAAAGAGUUGUAGACUUCGAUGGAUGAAUUACUUAAGGCCAAAUGUUAAAAGAGGAAACUACACAAAAGAAGAAGAUGAAAUCAUCUUGAACCUCCAUGCUCAACUUGGAAAUAAGUGGUCAGCAAUUGCAAUUCACUUACCAGGAAGGUCAGAUAACGAGAUAAAGAAUCAUUGGCACACAGCACUGAAGAAGCGCGCUCAUUAUAACUCAAGUGAAGUAAGCAAGAAAUGCAAUAAGAAGAAGAGUGAAAGUAAUAUUACUAAAAGAAAGAGUAAUGUGGAAAAUCAAAAUGCAAGUGCUAAUAACAUUAAUAAUAAUAUGCAUGAGAAUAUAGUAUUGGAAAGCUCAGAAUGGUCACCAAAUGAGUCAUCAAGUGAAGCAUUAUCCUCUAUUGAUUAUCAACAAGACAUUUUUCAAGAAGAAUUGGCUAAUUUGGAGGAAAUUACAAGUGGAAGUUUUUGGACACAACCAUUUGAAGUGGAUACUAAAAUUGAUUUUGUAGCUCCUCCAAUUGAUUAUUG
rnacentral:misc_RNA from 1 species